AUGGCGGUGGCGGCGGCGACGGCGGAUGUGGUGGAGGAGCUCACGAGGGUGUACCGGGAGCUGCCGCCGCGGCCGGCGGUGGAGGAGGUGGAGGCGGCGGCGGCGGUGCUCGCCUCGGCCGACGCGGAGGAGGAGGCGCGCCUGGCGGACGUCGCGCGGGAGGAGGCGGCGCGGCUGCGGGAGGCGGAGGGGGUGCCCGGGGAGCUCCUCGCCGUGCUGCGCGAGGCCAGGCGCGCCGCGGUGCGGCUGCGCGCGCUGCAGCAGCGCAAGGAGGCCGCGCACGUCGUCGAGCUCGAGAGACGCUUCAAGGUGCUCGACGGCCUCAUCCAGAGGGCGUCGCGGGUCGUGUCCCCUUCCGGCGAAGGUAGCAGAAGCGGUGGCGGCGGUGUGGAGAUGGCGGAGGUAGUGGAGGAGAUGGAUGCUAGGCGUAGCGACGUCGCGGCGGCGGCCGCGGUCGGGGAGAUAGAGCGCGGAAACAGGGGUGUUGGCUUCGGCUUGGACACCAAGGCCGUCUCGUCUCUGCUUCGCAAUGGUUCUACAGGCAGUGAUAUGGUGGACCAGAAAUUGAGCCUUAUCCAAGUGGCAAGCCUCAUAGAGUCAUCUGCAAAGAGAGGGACUACGGAGCUCAAUCUCCGAGGGAAGCUGGUAGACCAAAUCGAGUGGCUCCCCGUUUCACUUGGGAAGUUGCAAGAUGUUACUGAGCUUGAUAUAUCUGAGAACAGGAUCAUGGCACUCCCAUCAACAGUUGGUAGCCUUAGAUACUUGACAAAGCUUGACAUCCACUCAAACCAGUUGAUCAAUCUGCCUGAUACAUUUGGGGAACUAUCUAGCUUAAUUGAUCUUGAUUUGCAUGCAAACCAGCUGAAGUCUCUUCCGGCAUCAUUUGGAAAUCUCACAAGCCUAGCAAACCUUGACCUGAGCUCGAAUCAGUUCAAGAUACUGCCAGACUGUAUAGGAAAAUUAAUGAACUUGAGAAGAUUAAUAGCUGAGACGAAUGAGCUUGAGGAGCUACCCUAUACUAUAGGGUCUUGCAUAUCUCUUGUGGAACUUAGAUUGGACUUCAAUCAGUUAAAAGCCCUUCCAGAAGGUAUUGGGAAGUUGGAAAAGCUAGAAAUUCUCACAUUGCACUAUAACAGAAUCAAAGGUCUGCCUACAACAAUUGGUUCGCUUACCAGACUGAGAGAGCUGGAUGUCAGUUUCAAUGAAGUUGAAGGAAUCCCUGAGAGCAUUUGCUUUGCGACUAGCCUUGUAAAGUUAAAUGUCAGCAGGAACUUUGCUGAUUUAAGAGCACUACCAAGAUCAAUAGGAAAUCUUGAGAUGCUUGAGGAGUUGGACAUCAGCAGCAACCAGAUAAGAAUGCUGCCAGAUUCAUUCGAGUUCCUUGCAAAGCUUCGUGUAUUUCACGCCGACGAGACUCCGCUAGAAGUACCACCAAGAGAAGUUAUCAAGUUAGGGGCUCUGGCGGUGGUCCAGUAUGUGGCUGAUAUGGUUGCUUCAAGAGGAGCAAGCCAGAAGAAAACAGACGGGACAAGCUUCUGGGCCUGGUUCCGCUCACUGUUUGGUUGCUGCAAAAAAGAUGAAGAACUGGGAUUGGUUCCAGCUUAG
rnacentral:rRNA from 1 species